rnacentral:rRNA from 1 species
CUACGGGCCGCUGCAGUGAGGAAUAUUGCACAAUGGGGGGAACCCUGAUGCAGCAACGCCGCGUGGAGGAUGACGCAUUUCGGUGUGUAAACUCCUUUUAUAUGUCAAGAAAAUGACGGUAGCAUAUGAAUAAGCACCGGCUAACUCCGUGCCAGCAGCCGCGGUAAUACGGAGGGUGCAAGCGUUACUCGGAAUCACUGGGCGUAAAGGACGCGUAGGCGGGUUGGAAAGUCAGGUGUGAAAUCCUACAGCUUAGCUGUAGAACUGCACUUGAAACUUCUAAUCUAGAGUAUGGGAGGGGGAGAUGGAAUUAGUGGUGUAGGGGUAAAAUCCGUAGAUAUCACUAGGAAUACCUAAAGCGAAGGCGAUCUCCUGGAACAUUACUGACGCUAAGGCGUGAAAGCGUGGGGAGCAAACAGGAUUAGAUACCCUCGUUAGUC